UACAGAGGGUGCGAGCGUUAAUCGGAAUUACUGGGCGUAAAGCGCACGUAGGUGGCUUUGCAAGUCGAUUGUGAAAUCCCCGGGCUUAACCUGGGAACUGCAGUCGAGACUGCUUUGCUUGAGUAUGGGAGAGGGAGGUGGAAUUUCCGGUGUAGCGGUGAAAUGCGUAGAUAUCGGAAGGAACAUCAGUGGCGAAGGCGACCUCCUGGACCAAUACUGACACUCAAGUGCGAAAGCGUGGGGAGCAAAC
rnacentral:rRNA from 1 species